UCCUUCAAUUUGGAUUUUUCUAAAAUUUCCUCAUGAUUAUAUUCAAUUUAUGCCAUUUCUUGGCAGGACAAAUCUAGAGGUCAUAUUGUGUGCUUCCCAGGACAUCAUAUCAGGAGUCACAUGAUGUCAUUAUGUCCCAUCAUUGGUAAUGUUAACUUCACAGUGGCAGCUGUUAGGUUCCUCCACUCUAUAGUUACUAUUUUUGUGGAAAGUUUUAUUGAGUCUAGAUAAAUAUGCAUUUCCUUAUCAGUCUUUUCCAUUGAUGAUCUUUGUCUAAGGCAUAAUUGAUAUUCAUCAAUGGAAAAGAUUGAUGAGAAAAUGCAUAUUUAUCUAGACUCAAAGCUGGGCUGAAUAAAGCAUAAGCUGGAAUCAAGAUUGCUGGGAGAAAUAUCAAUAACCUCAGAUAUUCAGAUGACACCACCCUUAUGGCAGAAAGUGAAGAAGGACUAAAGAGCCUUUUAAUGAAAGUGAAAGAGGAGAGUGAAAAAGUUGGCUUAAAGCUCAACAUUCAGAAAACUAAGAUCAUGGCAUCCGGUCCCAUCACUUCAUGCAACUAGAUGGGGAAACGAUGGAAACAGUGACGGGCUUUAUUUUCUUGGACUCUAAAAUCACUGCAGAUGGUGACUGCAGCCAUGAAAUUAAAAGAUGCUCCUUGGAAGAAAAGCUAUGACCAACCUAUACAGCAUAUUAAAAAGCAGAGACAUUACUUUAAGGAAAGGUCCAUAUAGUCAGAGCUGUGGUUUUUCCAGUAGUCAUGUAUGGAUGUGAGAGUUGGACCAUAAGGAAAGCUGAGCACCAAAGAAUUGAUGCUUUUGAACUGUGGUGUUGGAGAAGACUCUUGAGAGUCCCUUGGACUGCAAGGAGAUCCACCCAGUCCAUCCUAAAGGAGAUCAGUCCUGGGUGUUCAUUGGAAGGACUGAUGUUGAAGCUGAAACUCCAAUACUUUGGCCACGUGAUGCAAAGAACUGGCUCAUUUGAAAAGACCCUGAUGCUGGGAAAGAUUGAGGGCAGGAGGAGAAGGGGAUGACAGAGGAUGAGAUGGUUGGAUGCCUCAUGCCGACUCAAUGGACAUGAGUUUGGGUAAACUCCAGGAGUUAGUGAUGGACAGGGAGGCCUGGUGUGUUGCGGUCCAUGGGGACACAACUGAGCAACUGAACUGAACUGAACUGAAUAAAACUUUGCACAACAGUAAUAACUUUAUUUUACAGUGGAAGAACCUAACAGCUGCCACUGUGAAGAAACUUCUCGCUGUGGCUGAGUGUGUAUAGAUGCAAAAAAAAUUUAUUGUUAAUCUUUAAUUAUAGCUUAUUAUAGGGUUACUAAGUACACAAUGCUUUUGAUUUUACAUUUUAGUGCAAUCAAGAUUUUUGUUAAUGGCUGCUGAAUUGGAAUACAUAAAUACCUUGAACAGCAUAUGAACACUCUGUGGAAAUUGUGGUGUCAGAUGGACAUCAUUGUGUCCCAAGUAAGAGUCUUUAACUAAGAUCUAUGGGAUUUUCAAACAAGGCAUAAGACUAGUGAAAGUUAUCUUUGUAUUUGUAUCUUUCUUGAACUGCUUUCCUUUGAAUUGUAAAUUUUAGUCAAAAGUUUAAAUGAUACUUUGAGCUAAAUUUAAUUAUAAAAUAUUGCUGGCUUUAUUGCUUGAGAUAUAUGCAUCUAAAAUUUUGACAUGUAAUUUAAGUUAUUAAAUUAUAGUUUAGAACUCAAAUUACAUUUUAAAGUAAAAAAUUCUUUUGAGAAUCUUUUUGUAAAGCUGACAGCAAUAUUUUUUAAAAAAUGAAUGAGGAACUUCCCUGGUGAUCCAGUGGUUAAGAAUCUUCAGAGGGCACAGGUUCGAACCCUGGUCAAGGAAAUAAGAUCCUGCAUGCAGCACAGCUUAGCCAAAAACUCUUUUAAAAAAGAGAGAGAAACAGAGAAAAAUGGAUGAGCAUUCUGAUUUCCCCUUUGUCUUAUUCUAGAGAUUCAUUCAUGAAAUGUGAUACACCUCUAGAUUUUUUCAUGUUUAGAUAGCUGUUAAAGUACCUUGGGAUUAGGGUGAAUUUUUUUUAAUCAUUAAAAUAGAGUAUGAGUUCAGUUCCUCCCCAAAAUAGGGCUUUUGCUUUUAGUGUACUGUAUUGAGGGAUAGGGCUCAGACUUUUGAUUCUCUCAAAUACGCAUCUGGAGUCUGUUUUGGUGAAAAUGGGUUUAGAGAGAAACUGUAACACACUUUAGCCAGAGCUGGUCUUCUGUCUAUGUAGCAAAGCAGAGAAUUGAGAUUUGGCUGCUCCAGGUCUUGCUCCAGUGGAUGAUAGACCCUGAGUUUUGACCUGAGUGUUUUCAUAGCUUGAAGUUCAGGAGCAGCAUGCUUCACUUGCAGAGAAAACCGGAUAACCAACACUGGCUGUGUCUCUAUGACUGAGAACUUACUGUUAAUGCGUGUAUUUCUGAAGAGAACUGCCUUCAGCUUUUCUGUGUUCUCUAGGGUAAAAUUAAGUUCUUCAUGUUGUUUUAGGCCUCUUUACCUUUCCAUGGGCAAAUUCCCUCAACCUGGAAUGCUUGUGCAACCUAUUUCCCAUGCCUCCUCAAAAAUGGGUAAUAGGAAGAGAGGUGCUUAUUACUUUUUUCAGAUCUGACCAGGGAUUGAACCUGUGCCCCCUGCAGUGGGCAGCGUGGAGUCUUAAUCACUGGACUGCCAGGGAAGUCCUGUAUGUGGAUUAUUUUCAAUAAACACAUUAGAAAAUUAUUUGGAGAUUUGGAACAAUUUGAAAAACAUCACAGACUAGCCAUGUAACCUAGAAAUAUUGAAAAAAAUAAGAAAGAUAUGUCAUGAAUGUAUAAAAUAUAUUUAGAUACUAGUUUAUUUGAUCAUUUUCUACCAUAAAAUAUAUAGUAAUCUAUUAUAAGAAGUUAAAAUUUACCAAAAUGGGUGCAAUGACUUAUAGAUAGUACAUGAUCCAGUAUACAUGAUCCAUUUACAUGCAAACAUGUAAAGCUGCAAUUUUGAAUCAUAACUGCAUAAAAUUAAAUGUCGUGUACUAUUAUAAUUGAUCUCUUAAUAUUGUGGUAAGCUCAAGUAUGUUUUGUUGUUUGUUGCUGUUUAGUUCUUAAGUCAUGUUCAACUCUUUUGCAACCCAUGGACUGCACCCCAGGAGGCUCCUCUGUCCAUGGGAUUCUUCAGGCAAGAGUACUGGAGUGGGUUGCUAUUUCUUCCUCUGGGGAUAUCCACUUAAAAUGCCAUGAGACUCUAAUCAUUUCCAGCAUGGACCUUUCUAUGUUCCUGGUGCUGGAACUGAAGCACACAGUGGAGGACGGAUUCGUACUUUAUGGAAACAUUCAUAGAAAAAUAAAAAAGCAAAAAAGUCAGAAAUUAGGGUGUAUUUCCAUCAAGUUACACCCAGUGUGCCUGCCUCUCUUGCCUCCCCUCCCAUGCCUGGGACAGCAAAGCCAAUCCCUCCUCCUCCUCCUCCUCCUCCUCAGCCUAGUCAAUAUGAAUCAAAGACACCUAGGAUGAAGACCUUUGUGAGGAUCCACUUCCGCUUAAUGAAUAGUAGAUAAUCAUCAUGUCCUGCAGUUAAUCAACCUAUCUGUUAUGUAUGUGUGUGGGUUCUUGUAUUAAAGUCUAGUAACUGCUACAAGAACUGUAUGAGAUGUUGUGUCAUCAUCAUCAUCACCUAAGGAUUCACCAUAUAGAACGUCAUGUGCAAGACUUGUGUUGAAGUGGAAAGCCUACCUUAUAUAGAAAUAAGAUAAGUGGCAUUUAAUAUUAAUAAUGUGUUAGUUUUCCUACUGCUUUAUAAAUUUGCUUUCAAAGAAUUGCAUUAUCAUACAGUAUGCAUUUCUCUCCCUUCCAAUGGGAAAACCUGUAUAUCAGCCUGUUGUCAUAGGUAGGUGGAUUUUUUAAAAUGUAACAGUGUUUCCAACACUGUAUUAUGAAUACGACUGUAAUGCUGUAUACCAUGAAAGUUCUAUAAGGAUUCACUCACUGUGUCUAAGCGAAGCCACUGUGAAACAACUAUAUCAGUUUCACUAAGCUUACCAUAAAGUAAUCAUAUUGCUGCUGCUUCACUAUCGGUGCAUGAGUCUUUAGAUCUAUGAAUAUAUAAUAUAUAAAU